UAGGGAAUCUUCCGCAAUGGGCGAAAGCCUGCCGGAGCAACGCCGCGUGAGUGAUGAAGGUCUUCGGAUCGUAAAACUCUGUUAUUAGGGAAGAACAAAUGUGUAAGUAACUAUGCACGUCUUGACGGUACCUAAUCAGAAAGCCACGGCUAACUACGUGCCAGCAGCCGCGGUAAUACGUAGGUGGCAAGCGUUAUCCGGAAGUAUUGGGCGUAAAGCGCGCGUAGGCGGUUUUUUAAGUCUGAUGUGAAAGCCCACGGCUCAACCGUGGAGGGUCAUUGGAAACUGGAAAACUUGAGUGCAGAAGAGGAAAGUGGAAUUCCAUGUGUAGCGGUGAAAUGCACAGAGAUAUGGAGGAACACCAGUGGCGAACGCGACUUUCUGGUCUGUAACAGACGCUGAUAUGCGAAAGCGUGGGGCUCAAACAGG
rnacentral:rRNA from 1 species